rnacentral:rRNA from 1 species
UACAGAGGGGGCAAGCGUUGUUCGGAAUUACUGGGCGUAAAGGGCGCGUAGGCGGCCUGCUAAGUCGAACGUGAAAUCCCCGGGCUCAACCCGGGAACUGCGUCCGAUACUGGUGGGCUUGAAUCCGGGAGAGGGAUGUGGAAUUCCAGGUGUAGCGGUGAAAUGCGUAGAUAUCUGGAGGAACACCGGUGGCGAAGGCGGCAUCCUGGACCGGUAUUGACGCUGAGGAGCGAAAGCCAGGGGAGCAAACGGG